UACGUAGGGGGCUAGCGUUGUCCGGAUUUAUUGGGCGUAAAGAGCGUGCAGGCGGCCAGGUAGGUCUGGUGUGAAAACUCGAGGCUUAACCUCGAGAUGUCAUCGGAAACCAUCUGGCUAGAGUCCGGAAGAGGAGAGUGGAAUUCCUGGUGUAGCGGUGAAAUGCGCAGAUAUCAGGAAGAACACCAAUGGCGAAAGCAGCUCUCUGGGACGGUACUGACGCUGAGACGCGAAAGCGUGGGGAGCGAACAGG
rnacentral:rRNA from 1 species